rnacentral:lncRNA from 1 species
UCUGUCGAAGCAUAUUAAAUCAAUGGCUUUGAUUCUCCUAUCUACAACAUGGUUGAGAUAUCUCACACUGUCCAUUUUGCAAGAUGUAGAGAACAGGCCACAAACUCACAAAAGGGCUAGUUUAACUCUGCAUCUGUACCUACAAACAACCAAAAGAAAAACUAUGUCCACUAUAAAUGAAUGCUUUUGAGAUACUGAAAGUGGUUCAUCAUAAGCAGAAGGUGUUGUUUGUCCUUCUAGACCAAUGUUUUCACUAACCUACAUUGCCUUAAGUAUGAGAGUUGCGUCAAUUGCAUCAUUUACUACUUCAACGUCAAAGUGCUCUGCCAAAAGUCGUUGACUCAUAGGAAGAGACGGUACAUUUAGUUUCUUGCAUUUUACUUCUAAUGACAUAUUUCUCAUCAUCUAGAACACUUUAUUCUUCCUUUUCUUAAUCCUUUACAGUGUAUUUACAUAAGAUUAUAUACUUAAUGAUCAACAACAACCUAUUCCUGAUAAAACAAUAUAUCUUUUCUCAAUUAUUUAAAUUUUAGGCAUAGUUUGUAAUGCUUGAGAACUUCCAAUAGCGACAUGAAAGUACAAAAUCUUAACGACCUAGAACCACUAAUACAACUCAUUUAAUAGAAAAAAUGUGAGAAACAAUCACCUUCGAUAGACCUUGAUUGAGUAGAAACCUGUCACUAUAUUUUGACAACCAUUGUCUUAACCAUGGCAACUCCUAAAGAUCCUCCAGUUGAAUUAUAAUUGAAACCGCAAGAAGAAGAAUAUCUCUGCAACAAUUUAAAAAAAAAAAAAGGUAAAUUAUGCAACUUUUAUAAGUAAAUAAUUGACUCGAGAACUUGUUUCGAAUCUCUCCAAAUUUUGAUGAAAGGUUGUAAUUUCAACGGCACCUUAUUGUUUACUUGAUUUACACUAACCUAUAAGUUAAAUAGAAAAUACACUCACCAUAAAUUUAAAAAUAAGUCUUGCAAUUUCAUCAGGAAAAAGUAUAAGCACAAAGGGCUAAGAAGUGCAGUGCAGCUACUGCUAAAUCGUCAAAAAGUAAAAAGAUAAGAAAUGAACAUUUUCCUUUUCAAUCAUGAAUAAAUUGAAUGAUAUACGAUAUUUCUUUGUUAGUGCUAAAUCAUCAAAAAUAGUUGAUAAAAUAUAAAUGCAUUACUGACCUUUAGGAAUGUAGUUGACAUAGCCUUCCUCUAUUCUCUUUGAGUUUUUCUUAUUGCCAUUGACG